GUCACAUCCGUCUCAGAAGGCCGAAAACCAGCAAACAUUUUGUUUUUUGAAUCUACAACUCAAAUACCUAUGUUAUUGGAAAUAUCAGCAAGACUACUCCAGGAAUAUUUAUGUAGCAGCGUUUAUCCUCCCGGUUGUGUAGUGUUGUGUAACGCGUGCCCCAGUACCUAACCGGUUCACUAAUUUGCUGCUGUUCGACCACACACUGCUGCACUGGUUCCAGAAAGGCCAAAGUUCAGAAAGCGCUGUGACCGUGGGUUCGCGAUGGCGGGAUCGUCUUCGGAGUGGCCCACAUCUAUCUGCACAUCUGCAUGGCUUGUUCCUCAUUGUAUCGGCUCUGAAACGCACUUUGGGGCAUUUCGACUUUCAAUGCUUCAAAAAUCAUUAAUCACGUUUUGGCAAUACAAAAAAGGCGUCACGCUCGAACUAACAUACAUGAAUACAUCUUAUUAGAAUACCAUGCCCAUGCCUCACCCUAUAUAAAUAUACCUUGCGCAAGUCUCAUUGCUGCCGAUCAUCACAUUGUCGUACUCCGCCAGUGGGUGGACGGUGGACGGUGGACGUUGGACUGUGGGUGGUGGGCGGUGGGCGGUGACAGGGGCUGUGAAUGAAAUGCGAAUGGGAUCCAAUUUACUAUAAAUUUUACUACGUUCCUGUUGCCAGCGCACGACGCUUCUGCGCAGUGGCUCACAGCAUCCACCAGGAUACAGGAUGGUGUAUGGUAUCCAUGUU